GCAAGCGUUGUCCGGAUUUAUUGGGCGUAAAGAGCGUGUAGGCGGUUUGGUAGGUCCGCUGUGAAAACUCGAGGCUCAACCUCGAGAUGUCGGUUGAAACCACCUUGCUAGAGUCCGGAAGAGGAGAGUGGAAUUCCUGGUGUAGCGGUGAAAUGCGCAGAUAUCAGGAAGAACACCCGUGGCUAAGGCGGCUCUCUAGUACGGUACUGACGCUGAGACGCGAAAGCGUGGGGAGCGAACAGG
rnacentral:rRNA from 1 species